rnacentral:rRNA from 1 species
GGGUUUCGACCCCGGUAAAGUGGCGCACGGGUGCGUAACACGUAGGCAAUCUUCCCCGAAGCGGGGGAUAACUUCCCGAAAGGGAGGCUAAUACCGCAUAAGACCACGGUCGCUACGGCGGCUGAGGUAAAAGCUGGCCUCUGCUUGCAAGCUAGUACUUUGGGAUGAGCCUGCGGCCCAUCAGCUAGUUGGUGGUGUAAAGGACUACCAAGGCGAAGACGGGUAGCUGGUCUGAGAGGAUGAUCAGCCACACUGGCACUGAAACACGGGCCAGACUCCUACGGGAGGCAGCAGUGGGGAAUCUUGGACAAUGGGCGAAAGCCUGAUCCAGCGACGCCGCGUGAGUGAUGAAGGCCUUCGGGUUGUAAAGCUCUGUUGAGGGAGAAGAAAACAGUUGGUUCGAAUAGGGCCAGCUCUUGACGGUAUCCCUUUAGAAAGCACCGGCUAACUCUGUGCCAGCAGCCGCGGUAAGACAGAGGGUGCAAACGUUGCUCGGAAUUACUGGGCGUAAAGCGCGUGUAGGCGGAUGGGUAAGUCAGACGUGAAAUCCCUGAGCUCAACUCAGGAACUGCGUAUGAAACUGCCCGUCUUGAGUAGUGGAGAGGAAAGCG